rnacentral:lncRNA from 1 species
UCGAAUUGUAUGAUUUACUUUUGAUUUAGUCAAUAAAUCUAAAGGUAAUGAAUACCCCGCUACACCAAGGUGGAUCCGAUAAAGUAUAUAUUCGAAAAGCCUGCUGUUACUGGUAGAAUUGCCCGAUGGCAAAUGCUGCUAACCGAGUAUGAUAUACAGUACGUUACCCAUAAAGCAAUAAAAGGGAGUGUUUUGUCUG